CGGCAGCGGCGGCGCGGUUGCGAUUCCGAGCCGUUGAGACGCCUCUGCGGCAGCUGGUGGCGCAGGUGGCUUGCGUGGACGCGGGUAGAGGCGACCGGCCAGCAACCGCAGCGUCGGCGCCCGCGGCCCCGGCAGGCGCGUCGGGACGCCCCGAGGCAUCCUCCCCCGCCCGCGGGCCCGGUAGCUGGGCCCGCAUCCCCGCGCCGCCGCAUCUCCUCGCCGCCUCCCGGGCUUCGGACCCCCGGUCUCGCCCCCGAAACAUGACUCGCGAUUUCAAACCUGGAGACCUCAUCUUCGCCAAGAUGAAAGGUUAUCCCCAUUGGCCAGCUCGAGUAGACGAAGUUCCUGAUGGAGCUGUAAAGCCACCCACAAACAAACUACCCAUUUUCUUUUUUGGAACUCAUGAGACUGCUUUUUUAGGACCAAAGGAUAUAUUUCCUUACUCAGAAAAUAAGGAAAAGUAUGGCAAACCAAAUAAAAGAAAAGGUUUUAAUGAAGGUUUAUGGGAGAUAGAUAACAAUCCAAAAGUGAAAUUUUCAAGUCAACAGGCAGCAACUAAACAAUCAAAUGCAUCAUCUGAUGUUGAAGUUGAAGAAAAGGAAACUAGUGUUUCAAAGGAAGAUACCGACCAUGAAGAAAAAGCCAGCAAUGAGGAUGUGACUAAAGCAGUUGACAUAACUACUCCAAAAGCUGCCAGAAGGGGGAGAAAGAGAAAGGCAGAAAAACAAGUAGAAACUGAGGAGGCAGGAGUAGUGACAACAGCAACAGCAUCUGUUAAUCUAAAAGUGAGUCCUAAAAGAGGACGACCUGCAGCUACAGAAGUCAAGAUUCCAAAACCAAGAGGCAGACCCAAAAUGGUAAAACAGCCCUGUCCUUCAGAGAGUGACAUCAUUACUGAAGAGGACAAAAGUAAGAAAAAGGGGCAAGAGGAAAAACAACCUAAAAAGCAGCCUAAGAAGGAUGAAGAGGGCCAGAAGGAAGAAGAUAAGCCAAGAAAAGAGCCGGAUAAAAAAGAGGGGAAGAAAGAAGUUGAAUCAAAAAGGAAAAAUUUAGCUAAAACAGGGGUUACUUCAACCUCCGAUUCUGAAGAAGAAGGAGAUGAUCAAGAAGGUGAAAAGAAGAGAAAAGGUGGGAGGAACUUUCAGACUGCUCACAGAAGGAAUAUGCUGAAAGGCCAACAUGAGAAAGAAGCAGCAGAUCGAAAACGCAAGCAAGAGGAACAAAUGGAAACUGAGCACAUUAAUCCAGUUACUGAAAAGAGAAUACAAGUGGAGCAAACAAGAGAUGAAGAUCUUGAGACAGACUCAUUGGACUGAAUUUCCCCCUUCCCCCCAUUGAUGGAAGAAUGUUCCAGAUUCUAAAUUGAGGACUUCAUUAUUAAUGGCAUUACUGUGUUAUGAUUAACAAAUUUCCUGUAAGGUACACACUACAUACUAAGGUCGGCCAUCAUUCUUGUUUUUUUUUUUUUUUUUUAACCAAGCUUAAAAUGAAGCUUUGUGUUUGAAAGUAAUAACAAGCUCAGACGAAGAUGGUGGUUGUACAUUAUUCAUCUAGAAAAUAUAAAAAUUCAUUUUGUUUUGAAGCUAGUUAUUAAACUGGAAUAGCAGUUAUAUCCCUGAGAAUGGGGCCCUUCUCUUGACAUUCCUUUGUUGUUUAAUUCUUUAGACUCUUAAUAAAUGUUUUUUUAAUCCUGAGAGAUUAAACAGUAGUAGACUUGUUAAGAAUGAAACUGUAACCAAAAUUUUAAAAUAAAGUUUUUUUAAAAAAAAAAACCUGAUUUUUAGAUAUUUUUUGUUCUUGUCUAUUUGAAUUGGUUCAUAAUAUGGCCUGAACUCUAAGCCAAGGUACUAGAAAUUAAGAUUUCAAUUUUAAGUGGUUAUUUUUGUGAUUGACAAUAAAAUGGUACCUUUUGUGAAACAUUAGUGAAUGUUACUGGACGUCAUUCAAGUUUGAUGAAUUGGCCAAAAUUUUAAAAACAGUGUUAUCUUAAGUCUAUUUAACUUUAAAGCUAACUUCAGAACUCAUUAAUCUACUUGUUACAUGCACAAUGAUUAAAUUGGUCUAUUUUAACAUGCAGCUUUAAAAAAGAAUGGAUGUAGAAGCCAUUAAAUAUUUAUAGGUAUCAUCUUCCCAUUGUGGCCUAUUUGUCCAGUGACCCUGAAAUUGGUCUUCUAGCAACACACUAUUUGUGAUGUCACCGAAAAGUCAGAUAUGAUUUAAUUUAGCAUGUUAAUUAGAGUUUUGCUUAUAUUUAUGCUAUGGAACUGCACCAUUCUAACAGCUACAGUCAGUUCCUUUGCAGUCUAGGCUAUUGACUUAUUUUAAGGAAAACAUUUUUAGCUUUUACAUAGGGAUUGUGGGCAUUUAGUCACAAAAUUCCAAUGUUUUGAAAUAUUUUUGUUAACAUUUGAUAGGCAGAAUAAAGAUGAAGGAAAGAAGCCAGAAGUUAAGAAAGUGGAGAAGAAGCGAGAAACAUCAAUGGAUUCUCGACUUCAAAGGAUACAUGCUGAGAUUAAAAAUUCACUCAAAAUUGAUAAUCUUGAUGUGAACAGAUGCAUUGAGGCCUUGGAUGAACUUGCUUCACUUCAGGUCACAAUGCAACAAGCUCAGAAACACACAGAGAUGAUUACUACACUGAAAAAAAUACGGCGAUUCAAAGUUAGUCAGGUUAUCAUGGAAAAGUCUACAAUGUUGUAUAACAAGUUUAAGAACAUGUUCUUGGUUGGUGAAGGAGAUUCCGUGAUCACACAAGUGCUGAAUAAAUCUCUUGCUGAACAAAGACAGCAUGAGGAAGCGAAUAAAACCAAAGAUCAAGGGAAGAAAGGGCCAAACAAAAAGCUAGAGAAGGAACAAACAGGGUCAAAGACUCUAAAUGGAGGAUCUGAUGCUCAAGAUGGUAAUCAGCCACAACAUAACGGGGAGAGCAAUGAAGACAGCAAAGACAACCAUGAAGCCAGCACGAAGAAAAAGCCAUCCAGUGAAGAGAGAGAGACUGAAAUAUCUCUGAAGGAUUCUACACUAGAUAACUAGGUUGACAUACCUGGAAUAUAGAGAACACUUGAGAAGUUUGUAAUGGUUUUCAUUUGAAAUAGACUGCUGAAAGUUUUAAAUUUUUAUAAGCAUAGGUUUGAUGUUGAAAACUUGUUUUGAGGGAGAAAAUCCCUUUAUCUUUGUUUUAAAGUAAAGUAAACAUUAUUGCUAAGUGUACUUGUGCAGUAUUAACAGCUACAUUAUACAGUAAAUGUGGGAUAAAAUCCAUUUAGAAAAUGUUAAACUGCUUUUCCAGACAUGGUUGUAGCAUAUUUUCAAUUAGUGUGUGUAUGUUAAUGUGUAAUUGAUAGUAGAACAAAGUUACAUUUUUAAAACUGCUACUUGUAUAAACCUUGCCUCUUUUCCCAAAUACUGUGGGUUUUGUGCAUAGUUUUUACAAACCUUGGAUUUACCAGACUGUCUUUUCACUGUUUGUGGGUUUUGUAGAAGUUACACAUUUUUAUGGUAGAUAAAAUGUUACUUCUAUACAAGUACUCACUCCCUUUUUAUCAAAAGGUAAUUUUAAUCUCACAGUCUACAUUGUGCUACAUUAUCCAGCUUCUUUGGAACAAUGUGUGCUCUGUAUGGUUUUUUUUGGUAUGACAACUAAUUAAGCAACUGACAUUGAACUGAGAAUUCUACAAACUAUAAAACAUUAAUUUUUGAAGGUAAUUUAGUUUUGUGGCUGGGCAUUCAGUGAAGUCUUAGGACUUCUUUGCAGAUAACUGACUGGGUAUAUAUAGGAAUGAAUCUGGCUUUAGGGUUAAAUCAUUUAAGGUCCUUUUAUAGGCAGGCACUAGUAACUAAAACUGAAAACUAAGUAAGUUUAUUUUUGAGGAAUGUUGUUAAAAAUGUCUUUAGGAAGUCACUAAAUAGUACUUAAUUGGAAGAAAAAAUCAUGAUGCUUAUACAAUAAAUAUGAAUAAAUGUUAUAUAAGGAAACUCACCUAUUUGAAAUCAUGGCUAUAUUAUUUUUAUUUUCUAGAUUCCAAAAAUACAAACACUAGUUGUUCCAGCAUUGUACUUUGAUAAGUCUGUACAUUGACGUGUAUGGACUAAAUCCAGGGUAAAAUCAAUGUUACAAAAUUUAAGGGUAUGUUAACUAAAGGAUAGCAUUUCUAAGAUACUUUGAAUAUUAGGGUCAUUUGGCACUUCUCAGCAAGUAGGAUACUUCUCAUGUUUUGAAAUUAUAUGAAUAUGGAAAAAAAUGGCUUAAGACCAGCGUCUCUGUAUGACAUUGUAUGGUUGACCCUCUGAGAUAACUGUUUUCAUCUACAGAAUUGCAUUUUUGCUUUUAAAGAGGUCUUAUAAUGGAACUAGGAAUCACCGUUUUGAGAGAACCUGCACAUAUACCAGUCAUUAUCUGUUUGGUCCUUAUACAGUUUUAACUUAGAUUUAUUCUAGUUAAGCCAUAAGUUCAACGUGUAAACUUGUUUUGAUUAAAGAAUUUUUCUAUCAAA